AACGAACGCUGGCGGCAGGCCUAACACAUGCAAGUCGAGCGAGGACUUCGGUUCUAGCGGCGGACGGGUGUGUAACGCGUGGGAAUGUGCCCUUCUCUACGGAAUAGCCCUGGGAAACUGGGAGUAAUACCGUAUACGCCCUUUUGGGGAAAGAUUUAUCGGAGAAGGAUCAGCCCGCGUUGGAUUAGGUAGUUGGUGGGGUAAUGGCCUACCAAGCCGACGAUCCAUAGCUGGUUUGAGAGGAUGAUCAGCCACACUGGGACUGAGACACGGCCCAGACUCCUACGGGAGGCAGCAGUGGGGAAUCUUAGACAAUGGGGGCAACCCUGAUCGAGCCAUGCCGCGUGAGUGAUGAAGGCCUUAGGGUUGUAAAGCGCUUUCAGCUGGGAAGAUAAUGACGGUACCAGCAGAAGAAGCCCCGGCUAACUCCGUG
rnacentral:rRNA from 1 species